UCAUUAGCGAAGCUCCAAGUGCUCUUUUCCAAUGUCUGAAGAGAAGACAUUUCGAAACGAGGAGCGGCGAUCAUGCCUCCCCUCAGGCAACAACAGCAACAUUGUGGUCGAAUUGUUCAUGCAAAUGCUCAUGAUCAUGAGCUAGGUGAAGGCGCUGAUGGAUCAGUACCCGUGGGAAACUGCAGAUAUCUUCACGGCAAACGCUCUCAGGAUUUUCUUGCAGAAUUGUUGCUGCUGAUGGUGGGGCUUCCCCCAUACUUGUCUCUGGAAACUGAUGCUUCUAUGGAUGAUGACAAGGGUGAUAUUUUUGAUGAUUAAGCUGGAGCUACUUAUUCUCUGGAACCUCCGCAACCAUAUUUGAGCCCACCACCAAGCCCAGCUUCCUUGCUGCAUUUUCCACCUCAGGAGAGCCAUCUUCACCCACUGAGGAAGAAGAAACUUGACCGCCUAGCCAGACACGACCCAACAACACUAGCAGAGGUGAUAAGAAGUGAAGUCUUUUGCUUGUGAGGGACUCCAUCUGCAUCCUUUUGAAGAAGUUGCAACUGAUGUGGACCCCCAAUGUUGUUCUUGUCUUGGUCGUUAAAUAAUGAACUAAGGCCUAUUUCAUAUUGUUUAUGUUAUAUGUAUGGUGUGAUACUGACUAUGCUAUGUGCGCUUUCUGAAAUGACUGACAUUUCUUUUAGAUCGUGCAUCUUAUAUAUUAAAAGUUUUUUGUUCAUGUUGUUUACAGUGCUUAGAAUAGAAGUAUUUAUGCUGAUAAAAAACUAACUAGUAUUUAUGCUGAUCAAGAACUAACUUUUUAAUACAUCUAGGUGCAGUAGGAAUGCUCUUAGAUUGAUAAUGCGGUGAAGGAAGUAGGAAAGAAUGGGUAAAUCCCAACUUCUGUCAAGUGGAACAAAUUAGGUUUAGUGUUAGUUGUUGUAUUUGUUUCGUGAAUUAGUGAUUUUUAUGAAUUGAAAUUUUUUAAAGGAUGGCCAUUUGGUCCUGUUUAUAAAGGUUUUGUUGAGUUGAGUUACAAUCAAUGAGGGAAUAGGAGAAAAUGAAGAAGUGGAAGAAGUUUCUGAGACAUUAUCAGCCAAUAGUUAGAGGAGUGGGUCUGCUUUUUGAAUUCUUUUGCCUAACCAUUAACUAUGAGCUAAUGGCAGCUUAAUUAGUUAGUGAUGGUAGCUGUCUGUGCUAUGCUGAACACUGUAAAUUAUGGAAAAAAUGCUACCUGCUUGUGAAGUGUGGAUUAAUGCUCAAGAACAAGGUAAAUGGUUUAGUGCGGGGUUAAUGUGCCGCGGUUGAAGUAAUAUGCCCUGUUCAGAAUACUUUUUUAUGGUUCUUUUCUUAUGAUUCUCUGUAGACAUAUGGAUUUUACAAUUCUUUUUGUUUUUAAUUUAAAGUCUUUUCAAUGUUGGUAAUUUGUUUAGGCCUGCCUAAUCAUAUCCUUUCCUGUUUGAUGACUAGAUUAUGCAAGUCUUUAUCUUAUUCACCCCACAAAUGGUGGUGCACAAUGAUUCUCAAAUUACUUAUUGUUUUUUUAAAUGAUGUUUUAUUCUUCUUAUCGAUUUUCCUAGAUAAAAUCUUGAUUAAGAUUUUUCAAUAGUUUAUUGUAUAGCUUGAGUGGGGGAGUGGAUGUUUUCCUCUGUAUUAGAUUAUAAAUUAUAUUGUCAUUUUCUUAUCUUCAUUGAUCUUUAAGUUUUUACGUUUUCUAUUUUCUAUUUUAUUUUUCUUUUUAGUUUUACUGAAUAAUUCAUUUAUUUAUUAUGUGAUGUUACUUUUCCUUUGAACCUUAUUUGCUCAUAGUUUUUUGUUUGAGAUUGGUCGAAUCACUUCCUUGCCAUCUGUAUUCACAAUAGCCAUCUUAGGAGAUGACAUUGUUUUCCCUUGCUUUUCCCGGUGUUAACAAACAUUUAAAAUAUGUCAAUUUUUGAUGACAUAACCGGGUCAAGUAGUAAUUGUUUGAACUACAAAUUUUAUAUUGGAUUACAAUGUUUGAAAAACCCAGGAGCUAGAUCAUGUGGAUAUGAUGUAAAAAAAAUUAUUUCCAAUCAAUUGACAUCUUUGCCGAUUUUCUGAUUGAGCAUUAUGCCAUCUUUGCUUUAUGAAAUGACCAUGAAUUUUCCCUCAAAUUGUCGAUAUUAUAUUGUUCAAUAUUUUUUAUUCAUACGUAAAAACAUAUAUUGGAAGUAAUUUUGCUGAUCAAGCACUAAUUUGUUAAUACUUCUUGGCAUCUUAGAAUGCUUUUAGGUUUGUUUAUUUAUAAUGCGGUGAAGGAAGUGGGAAAACAGGGCCAAAGCACCACUUGUAUAAAUUAGAUGCAAAUUAGGUUUUGCGCUACUUUCUUGUGCUUGGUGAUAUUAUGAAUUUAAUUUUUUAAAAAAAUAGUCAUCUCCUUUAGUUUUGAUAGGAUAUGUUUUGAAUUCGAGGAAGCUGAACAUGAGUGAAUUGAAGAAGUGAGAAAUGUUUCUCACACUCCAGUAGCCAAUGCUAUCCCCAGUUGAUGGAUUCGAUCCACUUGAACUCUUUCAGUUACUUAACCCCUGGGCAAGGAUACAAUGCUCUUAAUUAAUUAAUUAAUUAAUGAUAGUAUGAGCCUCUGGUGUGCAUUGAGCACCAUAAAGCAUUGGGAAAAAUGCUACAUGGGAAAGAAUGCUACCUAUUGGCUUGAUGGCCAUGGCCACCACCACUGCCUUUUGGCAAGAUGGCCUCUGUGCCAGGCAUCUGAGGUUCACUGAACCAAAUGAUUUAUUUCACUGAUGUCUUCUCUUGUACUUAACUGCAGAUAAUAACUGAUAGAGGGGUAUCUCCUUCAGCAAGUUGUAAGCCUCACCACCGAGUAGAUCAAUCUCCUGCCAACUAAACAAAGGAGUUAGGUAGAACAGCCAUUUUAUGCUGAUGAUCUUCUGUUGAUAAGAGAUGCUGACGAAGUUGCUGUUUCGAUUCUUGUAAUCAUCUGUGUGUUUUGCUGUUGAAUAAGAACACAGCUAUCUCCCCAAAUUGAAAUUGCCUGACAAAUGGAUUCCUCUGCAAAGAGUAAAGAGCUUAUAGAUGCAUGUACACAUGCCAAGAAAGGCGCUGGAAUUGCGGUGGAUAUUGAGCUUGGACCCCAGAUAUGUCACCAUUAAGCAAAGAAUAUAAAAUAUCGUUUGAAAACAACAGAGAAAUAACAAGCCAAGAGAGUGAAUAUAAGUUGGUUUUUUUAUUCUACAAACACGUGCAAAGAUUCGGAUUUAGAUAUGAUUGUUGGAGUAUUAGCGAAGCUCCGAAUUGGAACCGAGCCACCUUGGUUUUCCCGUAGAUAUUUAUACCAGUGCUCGGCCCCCAAUGUCCAAAGAGAAAUUUCCAAGAGAAACUAGAGCAGAAAGCAUGGCAUCGCAGCCGCCCCCUGGCGACAACGUUCGUGAAAUGUACAUGGAACUUCUCUGGGUGACAAGCCAGCUGAAGGUGCUAAUUGAUCGAAACCCGCAAGAAGCAAUGGAGAUCUUCAGGGCGUUCCCUGAGUUGGCCAGGUCUUUCCCUC